GCUGGAUACGGUGGCACAUGCCUAUAAUCCCAGCAACUCAGGAGGCUGAGGCAGGAGGAUUGCAAGUUUGAGGCCAGUCUCAUCAACUUAAUGAGGCUCUAAACAACUUAGCAAGACUCUGUCUCAA
rnacentral:sRNA from 1 species